UACCAGCUCUCCGAGUGGUGUGGACGAUUAUUGGGCCUAAAGCAUCCGUAGCCGGCUGAGCAAGUCCCCUGUUAAACCCAACGAUUCAAUCGUUGGCUCGCGGGGGAUACUGCUCGGCUAGGGGGCGAGAGAGGCCGUCGGUAUUCCCGGGGUAGGGGUGAAAUCCUAUAAUCCCGGGAGGACCACCAGUGGCGAAGGCUGUCGGCUAGAACGCGCUCGACGGUGAGGGAUGAAAGCUGGGGGAGCGAACCGGAUUAGAUACCCGGGUAGUCCCAGCUGUAAACGAUGCAGGCUAGGUGUUAGGGCGGCCACGUGCCGCUCUAGUGCCGCAGGGAAGCUGUUAAGCCUGCCGCCUGGGGAGUACGGCCGCAAGGCUGAAACUCAAAUGAAUUGACGG
rnacentral:rRNA from 1 species